AUAUUACUUUGUUGAAUAUUGUCUAGUGAAUAUUAAGUAUUCUCACCUUUCAGACAUGAACUUAUGAAUUCAACAGGUGAAGAUUUACAACUUGAUAAAUCAGCUUUGUGAGCUCGAGCUGUAAAAGCCAAAGGUCUGGUGAUGAUCCCAUACCCUUUUUUCCAGUCUCAUGUUGAAGAUUUUUAUGUAGAAGGCCUUCCCAAAGGAAUUUUUUUUUGAGAUGGAGUUUUCACUCUUAUCGCCCAGGCUGGGGUGCAAUGGCGCAACCUUGCUGGUCACUGCAACCUCUGCCUCCUGGGUUCAAGAAAUUCUCCUGCCUUAGCCUCCCAAGUCGCUGGGAUUACAGGUGCCCACCACCACACCAGGCUAAUUUUUGUAUUUUUAGUGGAGAUGGGGUUUCACCAUGUUGGCCGGGCCAGUCUCGAACUCCUGACGUCAAGUGAUCUUCCCGCCUCGACUCCUGACAUCAAGUGAUCUUCCCGCCUCGGCCUUCCAGAGUGCUGAGAUUACAGACGUGAACCCAUGCCUGGUCAGGAAUUUUGUUUUUUAGGAAGGCUUUCUACUAAUGGAAUUCCUGGCCUUGAGAGGAUGUUACUUUCGAAGGAAAGGAUUUUUUUGUUAUUAAAAGAAACAGGACCUUGCCCUGUCACUCAGGAUGGAGUUCAGUGCUCCUAUCAUGGCUCAUUAUAGCCUCAAACUCCCAGGCUCAAGCAAUCCUACCAUGUCAGCCUUCCCGUAGCUGGGACUACAGGUCUCACACUGUCACCCAGGCUGGAGUACAGUGGCAUAACCUCUGCUCACUGCAGCCUCCACCUGCCAGGCUCAAGCAAUUCUCCUGCCUCAGCCUCCCA